UAAGAGUUGUCAGACACAUAAUAUCCUGUUGAGGCCAAAAUUAUUAGCCCCCCAGGAAAUAUGGAACAAUUUCCUAAACUUCUUCCCAAUUUUAUGCAGUAUUGAUGAAACUUGAUAUAAUUAGAGUCACCAGUGCUAUUUAGUAGCUUCUGGUACAUUUUGUAAUAUAAAAUACAUUUGUAGGCUUUCUUUGUAAUGUAGUAAAAAGCUCCAUGUUAAUGUUUGCUUUCAAAACACACCUACAGUAAUGAAUCACCUUUAAAAACACACCUUAACUCAAGUCAGUUGGCUUCCUAACAACAUCCAAUCAGCAUAAAAAGACUCCAAGAAACAGGGCACUUGAAAACAUGACAGGGACGACUGUUACUCGCCAAAGACAAAGGAAAUCAGAAAGAAGACAAUAGAGGCUCAUAAUAAGGGGAAAGGCUACACUGCCAUUUCCAAUCAAUUCACAGUUUGCUGUGGAAAAUACUUUAUUGAAGACGUAUGAAGUGCAAUAAUUACACCCUGGAAAAGCAAAAGUUCAAAGAAAUCAUAAAAACCCCCAAAUUAUCAUGAGAUUCAUGAAUACGAGUAUAUAAACAUUUUAUUGCAUCAAGUCAGAAAAGAAAGCUCCAUGACACGACUUCCUGUCCACGUGUCUGUGCUGUGAGCCACCGUGAACAAACUGUUUACAUGUUUUGAUUCCACUUUUUGCUUUUUCUGCUAUGAUCCAAAAGCUCUGUGUGUCUUAAAGAAACACACAGAAAUACUUACUGGCUUCAAUCAUCUGUCCUUUUAUUAUUUAUUUAAUCUAUAUUUAACCAGGAAGAUCCCAUUGAGAUUAAAACAUUUUUCAAGGGAGACCUGCAGCAAGUAUCUCACAGUCACAAAAAUGACACAUAUAGACACAAUCAGGAACAACACGCAAAAAUCAAUCAAAUUCAGUAAAAAGUUAAACCCUCCAUCUGUCCUUAAAAGUAGUGAAAGAGCUGGAUCUUGCAUCUUAAACACGUCGCUCUCAUUGUUCUACAUUCUCAUGUUUUGUUUUUCUUUACACACACUGAAAUUGUGGGUUUUGUUUUUGAUUUGGUUAAAUGCAGCUUUUGCAGAGAAACGAUGAAAAUGUUUUUGACUGUUGUGAAAACUGAAGUGGCUCUAAAUCAGUUUUAGUAACUCUGGGAUUCUCAAAUUUGUCCUCACAGAGUAAAACCAGUCUGCAUCCAUCUUCCACUAUCAUCUAUUUGCUGUAUCCUUUUUGUCUCUGUUAUCUGUGGGAUUAACAAUAUAACUAGCAGCUGCUCACCUUUUACUGCAAACAGCUCUACAAUAAAGCAGGUCACCAGUAGAGAAAGAACUUGACCUCAUGUCCAAUAACUAAAAGUAUUAAUCUGCUCACAGAUUUUGUUUUUCAAGAGAAAAAAGCAAAGUUAAGUAAAACAAAACACCCACAAAAAACCCACCAAUCCGACAUUUUGCAGCUAUUUUCAAUGCUGAUUCUGUUCUCUGUCUUUAAUCCUGCCCAGAAACAGACAAUCUUACAUUUGCACUGUAGCCCUAAACCCUUCUACAUAUCACCUCAUAGAGGUUCAAGUGAAAAUAUAAUCCAACUGUCCAUUCAGACAAAUUAACUAUGUAAGACACACUCACAUUCUGGUAAUUGAGAAAUGCACGUACCCAUCUGACCCAUCAGAGCACGGACACUGGACAUAUGGGACGUCCUGUGGAGUCUGAAACAGGACAUUGGCAGCAGAUCAGUGAAUCAGACUUGUUCUGCUGAAUCUUGAUUUUGUUGUUGUUGUUGUUGUUGUUGUUGUAUUCCUCAAGCCAUUUCAGACCAGCUGAUGGAGUGUCUGAAUUGGUCUGGAUGGGUGCAGCAUGUCAAUCUAAACCUCACCUAAUUCAGGGUAUUUUCAACACCUGGCUGUGGCCUGAGGCAGAGGAGACACCGUGAGAGAGAAAAUAGAGACAAUAAAGUCCAAAAAACAAA